rnacentral:rRNA from 1 species
GGAAAGACCCCGUGAACCUUUACUAUAGCUUGACACUGAACAUUGAGCCUUGAUGUGUAGGAUAGGUGGGAGGCUUUGAAGCGUGGACGCCAGUCUGCGUGGAGCCGACCUUGAAAUACCACCCUUUAAUGUUUGAUGUUCUAACGUGGACCCGUGAUCCGGGUUGCGGACAGUGUCUGGUGGGUAGUUUGACUGGGGCGGUCUCCUCCUAAAGAGUAACGGAGGAGCACGAAGGUUGGCUAAUCCUGGUCGGACAUCAGGAGGUUAGUGCAAUGGCAUAAGCCAGCUUGACUGCGAGCGUGACGGCGCGAGCAGGUGCGAAAGCAGGUCAUAGUGAUCCGGUGGUUCUGAAUGGAAGGGCCAUCGCUCAACGGAUAAAAGGUACUCCGGGGAUAACAGGCUGAUACCGCCCAAGAGUUCAUAUCGACGGCGGUGUUUGGCACCUCGAUGUCGGCUCAUCACAUCCUGGGGCUGAAGUAGGUCCCAAGGGUAUGGCUGUUCGCCAUUUAAAGUGGUACGCGAGCUGGGUUUAGAACGUCGUGAGACAGUUCGGUCCCUAUCUGCCGUGGGCGCUGGAGAACUGAGGGGGGCUGCUCCUAGUACGAGAGGACCGGAGUGGACGCAUCACUGGUGUUCGGGUUGUCAUGCCAAUGGCACUGCCCGGUAGCUAAAUGCGGAAGAGAUAAGUGCUGAAAGCAUCUAAGCACGAAACUUGCCCCGAG